rnacentral:rRNA from 2 species
UGGAGAGUUUGAUCCUGGCUCAGAACGAACGCUGGCGGCAGGCCUAACACAUGCAAGUCGUACGAGAAGGUUCCUUCGGGARCUGGAGAGUGGCGCACGGGUGAGUAACGCGUGGGGACCUACCUUUUAGUGGGGGAUAACGGUUGGAAACGACCGCUAAUACCGCAUACGCCCUUCGGGGGAAAGAUUUAUCGCUAAGAGAUGGACCCGCGUUGGAUUAGAUAGUUGGUGAGGUAACGGCUCACCAAGUCUUCGAUCCAUAGCUGGUUUGAGAGGAUGAUCAGCCACACUGGGACUGAGACACGGCCCAGACUCCUACGGGAGGCAGCAGUGGGGAAUAUUGGACAAUGGGCGCAAGCCUGAUCCAGCCAUGCCGCGUGAGUGAAGAAGGCCUUCGGGUUGUAAAGCUCUUUCAGAUGUGAAGAUGAUGACGGUAGCAUCAGAAGAAGCCCCGGCUAAUUUCGUGCCAGCAGCCGCGGUA